GUCCACGCUGUAAACGAUGAAUACUAGGUGUAGGAGGUAUCGACCCCUUCUGUGCCGCAGUUAACACAAUAAGUAUUCCACCUGGGGAGUACGGCCGCAAGGUUGAAACUCAAAGGAAUUGACGGGGGCCCGCACAAGCAGUGGAGUAUGUGGUUUAAUUCGAAGCAACGCGAAGAACCUUACCAGGGCUUGACAUACCAUUGACCGUACUAGAGAUAGUACUUUCCUUCGGGACAAUGGAUACAGGUGGUGCAUGGUUGUCGU
rnacentral:rRNA from 1 species